rnacentral:lncRNA from 1 species
UACAACCUCAUAUGGUUAUUGUGAGAAUUAAGUGCAUUAAACACCUAGAGUGGUAUCUUGCACAUAGUAAGUAUUCAGUAAGUGUUAGCUCUUUCAGCUCCUGCCUCUGGCCACAUGUCUCACCCCGCUCUCUCUCAUCUCUCUGUUCUUGAUAUGUUGGCUUUUUUUGUUUUUAUUGACAUCAUCCUCUCUCCACAGGGCCUUCGCACGUUCUGUUCCUGCUGGGACUCUAUUUCUUUGUCUUCAGCUAUUCAUUGCCAAUGCAGCCUUCAGAUCACAAUGUCAACAGAGGAUAGACAACCCCCUCCUCCCCCAGCUCCCUGCUUCCAGAGGAUUAUGUAACCAAAUCCAAGCACACACCACUCACCACACAACAGCAAGUAAGCUGAGAGUUUUUCCCAUGGAUUGUGGUCUCUAAGAUGAUAAUCUAAAGGUUUCAGGAAGAGACAAGUCACAGCUCCCCUGACACUCCUG